rnacentral:rRNA from 1 species
AGUUUGAUCAUGGCUCAGAUUGAACGCUGGCGGCAGGCCUAACACAUGCAAGUCGAACGGUAACAGGAAGAAGCUUGCUUCUUUGCUGACGAGUGGCGGACGGGUGAGUAAUGUCUGGGAAACUGCCUGAUGGAGGGGGAUAACUACUGGAAACGGUAGCUAAUACCGCAUAACGUCGCAGGACCAAAAAGGGGGACCUUCGGGCCUCUUGCCAUCGGAUGUGCCCAGAUGGGAUUAGCUAGUAGGUGGGGUAACGGCUCACCUAGGCGACGAUCCCUAGCUGGUCUUAGAGGAUGACCAGCCACACUGGAACUGAGACACGGUCCAGACUCCUACGGGAGGCAGCAGUGGGGAAUAUUGCACAAUGGGCGCAAGCCUGAUGCAGCCAUGCCGCGUGUAUGAAGAAGGCCUUCGGGUUGUAAAGUACUUUCAGCGGGGAGGAAGGGAGUAAAGUUAAUACCUUUGCUCAUUGACGUUACCCGCAGAAGAAGCACCGGCUAACUCCGUG